rnacentral:tRNA from 1 species
GACUUUAUAGCUUAAUUGAGCGUGGUAUUGAAAAUGCCAAGGUAAUAUUUAUAUUUUUAGUCA